AGCGGAGCUUCCAGACUAAGACAAACUAGGAAGAAGGACCUGGCCACCCACUUCUGAAAAAAUUGGCCAGGAAAACCCCAUGAAUAACAGCAGAGCAUCGUCUGAUAUAGCGCAAGGUGAGAGGAUGGCACAGAAAUACUGGCAGGGUUCUGCUCUGCUGUCCAUUGGGUCGCUAGAAGUCAGAAUUGACUCCACAGCCCUAACAAGAUUAAAAAGCAUGAUA